GCUUGAACCUCUUGACCUUGACCACAAAGAUUGAACUAGGAGGUUUAAAACACCAGAGACAGAAUUUAAAAUUUACUACUCCUACUACUGCCACCGUUAAUAACAAUAGUAAACAAUGUACUGCGUGCACGCAGCAUAUCCAGUUCUAAGAAGGAGUUUAUGAUCUCAUUGGAGAGAUAAGAUCUGCACAGUCCCUGGAGAACAUCAGGAUUGGAUACAGAAUGAAGAGCAGAAAUGGGCCAGAGGAGACACGGAAGUCCUGUGGAAAAUAACAAAAUGUUGCUUAACAUCUCAACACUCAAGAAAAAUGUGAAGCUGGGAAAGUAGACUUGGUGGUCUUCAGAACCUGCUGGUGCUAUGCUUGGUCUUCCACCACCACAGGGAAAACAGCCCCCCUCCAGCUUGCAAGGUUGCUUUUCAAGAGGCAG